GGUUUAUAGUUUCUUAAACUGCAAAUUUAAGCAAGCAAUUAUUGCAAAAACCU
rnacentral:tRNA from 1 species